CGGACGGGUGAGUAACACGUGAGCAACCUGCCUUCGAGAGGGGAAUAACGGCUGGAAACGGUCGCUAAUACCGCAUAACAUACAGGAGGGACAUCCCUUUUGUAUCAAAGAUUUAUCGCUCGAAGAUGGGCUCGCGUCCGAUUAGGUAGUUGGUGAGGUAAUGGCCCACCAAGCCGACGAUCGGUAGCCGGACUGAGAGGUUGAACGGCCACAUUGGGACUGAGACACGGCCCAGACUCCUACGGAAGGCAGCAG
rnacentral:rRNA from 1 species